UUCAGCCCUUUUCCCUUUCUGCCCUCUGCCAUGUGAGGUCACAGUGUUCCUCCCUCCUGAGGAUGCAGUGUUCAUGAAAGCAAACACUGGGCCCUCACCAGGCAACAAACCUGCUGGUGCCUUCAUCUUGGACUUCCCAGCCUUCGGAACUAUGGAGCCCGCACUCUCCAGUUCAUCACCACCCCAGCAUCCCUACUCUUGCAUCUAACAGUUUCCGCUAUUUUGCACCACCUGCCUGGCCCUUAUGGGCAACUCAAGGAAGAAAGGAAAGAAGAGAUAGAGGAAAAAUGGAUUCAACAAAUGAAAGUGUUCUUUCUGACUACUGCUGUGUUUACAAACAUUUUAAUCAUCAAAACAUGCUUUAUUUGAUAGAAAGAUCAAAUCUGCCUUUGUAAAACAAGAGACUAUUUUAAUCAUUAAGACAACACACAUGUUUGAUUUGGAGGCGUGUUCUCAUUCAAAACCUUGCAAAAUAUAAUUUCUUCUUGUCUGGGAGAUGGUGUCUUUCUUCGGGGAGAACCUUGAGAGAAAUGUCUAUGAAUGUGUCUGUAGAUUGAGGAUAGGCCAACAAACAUAUUUUGAAAUAUUUUUUCUUUCUUUUAAAAAAAUAGAUACUUUUAAAAGAAAAUGCUUAUUUAAAUUACAUAGCUCUUUUUUUCACUCUCAGUCAUCAUUUGUGGUUUCAGUCAGUACUACAUUUAUUCCCCAGAGCUAGGAUUGCUGUGUUUUUAGAAAGGGAGCCUGUUUGAAGGGACUCUAUACUCUUGCAGUAAUUAAAAUCCUUUUAGGAGUCUUUGACUUUGACUUACUGCUUUGUUUUAAAUUAUUGAAAUUAUUCAACUUCCCCAUUCUAACCCACGGAAGGCUGUUGUUGUUCUCAUUUAUAAUGGCACAAUAUAAGUUUAAAGAUAGCUGUCUCCACAUGAAUGCAUCUGCAAAUCCAUCUCUCUUCUCUCUUCUGCCAUCCAGGUUAAGAAGCUCCACUGCGCUUUGUCCAUUGCAAGUUGAGAAGUGAGGCCCCAGCUGUCACAUACAUAGAGACGGGGUUUCUCCAUGUUGAGGCUGGUCUCAAACUCCUGACCUCAGGUGAUUCACCCGCCUCGGCCUCCCAAACUGCUGGGAUUAUAGGCAUAAGCCACCGCGCCCGGCCUUAGGCUCCAUCACAAGAGGGAGCCCCAUUGCUAGUCCCCAUCCUCAAAGCCUCUGCGUGAUGUUGUCUACUGUUACUCUUCACUACCCUGUGGGAGCCAAAGCCCUGGACAUAAGAACAGAAGGUGCAAAAGUUUAGGCUGGGCGCAGUGGCUCACACCUGUAAUCCCAGCACUUUGGGAGGCCGAGGCCGGUGGAUCACCUGAGGUCAGGAGUUCAAGACCAGCCUGGCCAAUAUGGCGAAACCUGUCUCUACUAAAACUACAAAAAUUAGCUGGGCAUGGCGGCACGUGCCUAUAACCCCAGCUACUGGGCUGAAGUAGGAGAAUCACUUGACCCUGGGAGGCGGAGGUUGCAGUGAGCAAAGAUCGAAUCGGCUUCAAAAAAAAAAAAAAGCAGUGGUGGCUGAGAGGAAGAACUGACACCUUUGUGCUAUCAGAGCACUUUGCAGAGGAGCUGUUAGUGGCCCUGUAGGAGUCUGCUGGCCAUACAUCUGGGUGUCAAAUCAAGAGAGCAUGAGAAGUUGGACAGGAAAGGUCCAAGGCAAAAUGGUUACUAAAGGCCAUCCCUGAUCCUGACCCUAAAAGAAGAAAAGGCCCUUUGCUCUUGGCAUGCUUUUGCAGGAGUGUCUCAGUCUGUUUGGGCUGCUAUAACAUUGACUGGGUGAUCUGCCUGCCUGGCCUCCCAAAGUGCUGGGGUUACAGGUGUGAGCCGCUGCACCAGGCCUUGAGGUCAGGAGUUCGAGACCAGCCUGGCCAACAUGGUGAAACCUGUCUUUACUAAAAAUACAGAAAUUAGCCAGGCAUGGAGGCGCAUGCCUGUAAUCCCAGCUACUGGGGAGGCUGAGGCAGGAGAAUCGCUUGAACCCAGAAGGUGGAGGUUGCGGUGAGCCCAGAUAGUGCCAUUGCACUCUAGCCUGGCCAACAAGAGUGAAACUCUGUCUCAAAAAAUAAAUAAACAAACAAACAAACAACA
rnacentral:lncRNA from 1 species